CUCAGCUGUCAACACUCGCCUCCCCGCCCUGGCCUUCCCGGGGCCCUGCCUGACUGCUAAGUCCGAGGACACCGCGCCCGGAGACCCUCACUCAGACGCAAGCAGGCGAUGAGCAGGCGGCGGGGCAGACACCCCGCCUGCCCUUGAGCAUCCCUAGGCCUCCUUGCCUAAAUAAGGGAGCCGCAGCUGGAGCGAGCCAGCUGGCCGGGGGGAGGGGCCUGCGGCUAGGCCAGGGCUUUCCGAGGGGCUGGGCCGUGGCCGCCGCCGCAGGGCCCCGAGCCCGCCGAUUGGGCGUGCAAGGCUGGCCCCGGGCUGCCGGGGGAGGGCGGGCCGCUCGCACCCGGGGAUCCCCUGGUUGGAACCUCGCGCUCAGGGACCUCUCUUUGAUCCUGCAGCUAGGAGGCCGCAACUGCUGUCAGAAUGUCCCUCUCUGUGCAGCUCCUAUGCAGAGCCCCACAGAGGGCUCUCUCUCUCUCCGUGUGUGUGUGUGUAUGUGUGUGUGUGUGUGUGUGUGUGUGUGUGUGUGUAUGUGUGUGUGUGUGUGUGUGUGUGUGUGUGUGUGUGUGUUGGGGCAGGGGGCGUGCCCCUUCUAAGUUUAACCCUCCCUUAUUUCAGAGCUCUGCUGCUCUGGGGCCUUCAGAUUGUCUUGCUUUUCCUAUUUCCAGGGUCUCCCUUGACUCCGGGCUCGUCUUCGAGGGUCCAGGCGUUGCCCCGGUCACCCACAGUAGGCACUGAGCGCGUGCUGUGUAUACCAAGCCAGUGCUCGGCGUGGUGGGGAACCAGGGCAUAAGGACCCGCCGUUUCCCUUCAAAUCAGGUUUCUUAGUCGCUAAUCUGGGGUGGGGGUGGAAUCCCUUCCCCCAUCCCGGCCGCCUACAAGCCGGCCAUGGCACCUGUCCUCACGGUUUCCCCUGCCUAAGGGUCCCUUCCCCCUCUUCUGGGCGCGCGAGUCCCAGGGGCUCCUUGGCAGAGCGAGGGGCUGGCGUUGG
rnacentral:lncRNA from 10 species